UUGGUUAAGUUAGAAAGGGCGCACGGUGGAUGCCUUGGCACUAGGAGCCGAAGAAGGACGGGACUAACACCGAUAUGCUUUGGGGAGCUGUACGUAAGCGUUGAUCCAGAGAUUUCCGAAUGGGGGAACCCACUAUCUUUAGUCGGAUAGUAUCCUUACGUGAAUACAUAGCGUGAGGAAGGCAGACCCAGGGAACUGAAACAUCUAAGUACCUGGAGGAAGAGAAAGAAAAAUCGAUUUCCUGAGUAGCGGCGAGCGAAACGGAAAGAGCCCAAACCAAGAAGCUUGCUUCUUGGGGUUGUAGGACACUCUAUACGGAGUUACAAAAGAAAGUUAUAAAUGAAGCGGUCUGGAAAGGCCCGCCAAAGACGGUAACAGCCCGGUAGUUGAAAUGGCUUUCCCUCCAGAGUGGAUCCUGAGUACGGCGGAACACGUGAAAUUCCGUCGGAAUCCGGGAGGACCAUCUCCCAAGGCUAAAUACUCCCUAGUGACCGAUAGUGAACCAGUACCGUGAGGGAAAGGUGAAAAGCACCCCGGAAGGGGAGUGAAACAGUUCCUGAAACCGUGUGCCUACAAGUAGUUAGAGCCCGUUAAUGGGUGAUAGCGUGCCUUUUGUAGAAUGAACCGGCGAGUUACGAUUUGUUGCAAGGUUAAGCGGAAAAAGCGGAGCCGUAGCGAAAGCGAGUCUGAAUAGGGCGCAUAAGUAACAGGUCGUAGACCCGAAACCAGGUGAUCUACCCAUGUCCAGGAUGAAGGUAAGGUAAUACUUACUGGAGGUCCGAACCCACGCACGUUGAAAAGUGCGGGGAUGAGGUGUGGGUAGCGGAGAAAUUCCAAUCGAACUUGGAGAUAGCUGGUUCUCUCCGAAAUAGCUUUAGGGCUAGCCUCGAGGUAAAGAGUCAUGGAGGUAGAGCACUGUUUGGACUAGGGGCCCUUCUCGGGUUACCGAAUUCAGAUAAACUCCGAAUGCCAUGUACUUAUACUCGGGAGUCAGACUGCGAGUGAUAAGAUCCGUAGUCGAAAGGGAAACAGCCCAGACCACCAGUUAAGGUCCCCAAAUAUAUGUUAAGUGGAAAAGGAUGUGGGGUUGCUUAGACAACCAGGAU
rnacentral:rRNA from 1 species